rnacentral:rRNA from 1 species
AACUCCUACGGGGGGCAGCAGUAGGGAAUCUUUCACAAUGGGCGAAAGCCUGAUGGAGCAACGCCGCGUGCAGGAUGAAGGCCUUCGGGUUGUAAACUGCUUUUAUAAGCGAGAAAUAUGAUGGUAACUUAUGAAUAAGCACCGGCUAACUCCGUGCCAGCAGCCGCGGUAAUACGGAGGGUGCAAGCGUUACUCGGAAUCACUGGGCGUAAAGAGCGCGUAGGCGGGAUAGCAAGUCAGAUGUGAAAUCCUAUGGCUUAACCAUAGAACUGCAUUUGAAACUGUUAUUCUAGAGUAUGGGAGAG